UACAGAGGUCUCAAGCGUUUGUUCGGAUUCAUUGGGCGUAAAGGGUGCGUAGGCGGCGCGGUAAGUCGGGUGUGAAAUCUCGGAGCUUAACUCCGAAACUGCAUUCGAUACUGCCGUGCUUGAGGACUGGAGAGGAGACUGGAAUUUACGGUGUAGCGGUGAAAUGCGUAGAUAUCGUAAGGAGGACCAGUGGCGAAGGCGGGUCUCUGGACAGUUCCUGACGCUGAGGCACGAAGGUCAGGGGAGCAAAACGGGG
rnacentral:rRNA from 1 species